rnacentral:rRNA from 1 species
UACAGAGGGCGCUAGCGUUGUUCGGAAUCAUUGGGCGUAAAGGGUGCGUAGGUGGCGCUGUAAGUCGGGUGUGAAAUUUCGGAGCUUAACUCCGAAACUGCAUUCGAUACUGCCGUGCUUGAGGACUGGAGAGGAGACUGGAAUUUACGGUGUAGCAGUGAAAUGCGUAGAGAUCGUAAGGAAGACCAGUGGCGAAGGCGGGUCUCUGGACAGUUCCUGACACUGAGGCACGAAGGCCAGGGGAGCAAACGGG